AUUGAACGCUGGCGGCAUGCUUUACACAUGCAAGUCGAACGGCAGCACGGGGGCAACCCUGGUGGCGAGUGGCGAACGGGUGAGUAAUACAUCGGAACGUAUCCUUAAGUGGGGGAUAACGCACCGAAAGGUGUGCUAAUACCGCAUAAUCUCCGAGGAGAAAAGCAGGGGAUCGCCAGACCUUGCGCUUUUGGAGCGGCCGAUGUCCGAUUAGCUAGUUGGUGAGGUACAGGCUUACCAAGGCGUCGAUCAGUAGCUGGUCUGAGAGGACGACCAGCCACACUGGGACUGAGACACGGCCCAGACUCCUACGGGAGGCAGCAGUGGGGAAUUUUGGACAAUGGGGGAAACCCUGAUCCAGCCAUGCCGCGUGAGUGAAGAAGGCCUUCGGGUUGUAAAGCUCUUUCAGCCGGAACGAAACGGUCACGGUUAAUACCCGUGACUACUGACGGUACCGGAAGAAGAAGCACCGGCUAACUACGUGCCAGCCGCCGCCGUAAUAC
rnacentral:rRNA from 1 species